rnacentral:rRNA from 1 species
AGUGAACGCUGGCGGUAGGCCUAACACAUGCAAGUCGAACGGCAGCACAGUAAGAGCUUGCUCUUACGGGUGGCGAGUGGCGGACGGGUGAGGAAUACAUCGGAAUCUACUUUUUCGUGGGGGAUAACGUAGGGAAACUUACGCUAAUACCGCAUACGACCUACGGGUGAAAGCAGGGGAUCUUCGGACCUUGCGCGAUUGAAUGAGCCGAUGGCGGAUUAGCUAGUUGGCGGGGUAAAGGCCCACCAAGGCGACGAUCCGUAGCCGACCUGAGAGGAUGAUCGGCCAAACUGGGGCGGAGAGAAGGCCCGGACUCAUACGGGAGGCAGCAGUAGGGAAGCGUCCGCAGUGGACGAAAGUCUGACGGAGCAAGGCGGCGUGAGUGAUGAAGGGUUUCGGCUCGUAAAGCUCUGUUGUUAGGAAAGAAACAGUACCGAACGACCUAGGUCGGUACCUUGACGGUACCUAACCAGAAAGCCACGGCUAACUACGUG